rnacentral:rRNA from 1 species
UUUAGAGGAACCUGCCCUGUAAACGAUGAGCCACGAAUUACUUUACUCUUUCUUGAAAUUCAGUUUGUAUACCGCUGUUGUCAGUUAGUUUCUUUAGAAAACUUUCGUAAAUGAGAAAAUCAAUGACUUCAAGUAAAGGUGCAGCUUAUGAGAGAGAUAGAGGUGGGUUACAUUUAAUAGAAUAAUAUGGAUAAAAUUUUGAAAAAAUUUUUGAAGGUGGAUUUAAUUGUAAAAUUUAAUGAGAUUUGAUUUGAGC